rnacentral:rRNA from 2 species
UGUGACCUCAAAUCAGGUAGGACUACCCGCUGAACUUAAGCAUAUCAAUAAGCGGAGGAAAAGAAACUAACAAGGAUUCCCCUAGUAACUGCGAGUGAAGCGGGAAAAGCUCAAAUUUAAAAUCUGGCGGUCUUUUUGGCUGUCCGAGUUGUAAUCUAGAGAAGUGUUAUCCGCGCUGGACCGUGUACAAGUCUCCUGGAAUGGAGCAUCAUAGAGGGUGAGAAUCCCGUCUUUGACAUGGACUGCCAGGGCUUUUGUGAUGCGCUCUCGAAGAGUCGAGUUGUUUGGGAAUGCAGCUCAAAAUGGGUGGUAAAUUCCAUCUAAAGCUAAAUAUUGGCGAGAGACCGAUAGCGAACAAGUACCGUGAGGGAAAGAUGAAAAGAACUUUGGAAAGAGAGUUAAACAGUACGUGAAAUUGCUGAAAGGGAAACGCUUGAAGUCAGUCGCGUCGUCCAGGGAUCAACCUUGCUUUUGCUUGGUGCACUUCCUGGUUUGACGGGUCAGCAUCAAUUUUGACUAUUGGAAAAAGAUCAGGGGAAUGUGGCAUCCUUGGAUGUGUUUAUAGCCCUUGGUCACAUACAAUGGUUUGGGAUUGAGGAACUCAGCACGCCGCAAGGCCGGG